rnacentral:tRNA from 1 species
CAGAAAAUAGUUUAAAUAAAAAUAUAAACUUUGGAAGUUUAAGAUAAAUAUAAUUCUUUUUCUGA